GGCCUAUCUUUAGGCAGGCAGAGUUAGUGGUGGGACAUCUACUAUGAUUGGUGCCCUCCAUCUGAUUGAGACUACAGUACUAUCAGCCCCAGGUUGCCAAAGGCUGAUGGAGAAUUUAAUCUCUCAGGUCUCUCUCCUAUUUGUUCUCCACAUCCUCGGCCUUCAACCUCCUACUUCCUUGCAGGGUAGAGAAAUGGUGCUAGGCCACAUCUCUUAAAAAUGCUAAUUAAAUGAGGAAGAAGAAAAAGGAGGACAUGUUCCGGAGCAUGUGCAGAGUUUAUUCUCCUCAAUCUUCAGUAUCCACAAGUCUCCCUCCUGCUCCCACCUGGGGAUCGAAUACCAGUUUUAAUCCCAGCGCCCCCCUCACUCGUCUGUCUUGGGAGCAAGUCCCGCUGGUGGGGUUGCUUCCAAGUUGGCCAUGCCCGGGAUUGGGUUGGAAAGCUACACUUCUGCGCAGGUUGACUUGGGAACAAGUCUACCGCUGACAUUCGUUGGGGCUUUACUUCGGAGUAAACACGCCCAGGACUUUUGGGGGGGCGGGGGUGAGAGGAUCCCUCCUGGCGGGUGGGAGCCACCGUGGGCGCCGAAGCCCCUCCUCCCCAGAGGCAAGAUCGCUCUUCCCCCCGCUCCGCACGUGCUCCCCCGGCGGCCUUUUCCGGGAGGGGGCUCGGCCAGCGGAGUUGCCGUCGCCCGGUUGGAGCCGGUGAGUCACUCGGUGGCUGCAGCUCCUGGAACAGGAGUAGCCCAGCUGGGCUGGGCCGAGCGGAGCCGCGGGCGGGGAAAGAGAAGCACCAGAAGCAGGAAGUGAGGCGGGGAGAGAGAGAGACACACACACGCACACACGGAGCCCGAGCAAGCGAGCGGCUGAGCCCGGCGCUCCUCUGCCGAGAAGUUGCCUCCCCCGCCCCCCCCCCCCGCCGCGCGCACUCCCGCCGGGCCCGGGGAAAAAAGUUUCCCUGGCCGGCCGCCUCGCCUCCGGCGGCUGGAUGACCGCAGUGCCUCGCGAGGGUCUCGCCGCCGCCGCUUCUGCUGAUCCUGUCGUCCCCCGCCGGCUGUCCCCAUGGAGGACAGGAGCCCCCGCUGGAGCGGCCGCCCGCCCAUCAUCGGUGAGUGCUGCGCUUCUCCGUCUCCUUCCUGCGCCCAUCACCGCGGAGUUGGGGCGGGGGAGGCGCGCGAGGAGGAGGCUCCUGCUGCUGGCCGCUGCCGCCGCAGCCACGGCUUCCUCCCUCCGCGGGAAGUUCAGCUUGUUGCUGGCUGUCUGGACUGCUGUGGAUUUCGGACAGGGGGGUGGGUGGAGGAAACUUGUAAUAGGAAGGGGGCGGGGGCUCAAGUCCCCGCCUGUGUGGUUGGCUGACUUCUCUCCGUGCCGAAAGAAGGAGCUCUGUACAUGCUCAGAGAGGUGAACUAUUUUAGAACCAUAUCUGUGUAAUAAUGGCAAAUAGGAGUCAUAGUUGUUGUUGUUGUUGUUGUUGUUGUUUUAAAGGGAAAAGGUUUGUGGAGUGGUAUUAUUGGUUGAUAGUAGCCCUGAUUUUUAAGGUGAAAACCUUUGUUUGGACCAAGCCCUUGGGCUGAAAUCUCCCACUCUAACCUGGAUGCACUUUUUAUUGAUACCAAAAGUGUGAGGGUUGGUUGCGGUUUCUCAGGGGUGACAGGAACACACUCUACAAGUGUUCUUUUUAAGCUUUUCUCCAGGCUUAGGGGAAAGUGGAAUUGAAGCAGGUUCCAUUGGUCAGCCUUUUGGCUUGGUUGGGUUCAGCCUGAGGAGUCCUAGAAUCAGUUGAAUGUAUUUUUGGGAAGUUUGGAGACAGCUGUGGUAGGUUAGCAGCAUGAGAUCUAGGCACAUGGAUUAGCCUGCUUUCGGGAGGCCAUGCGAGAGAGACUGGCACAGUGCAUCUUGGAGCAUGUGUUUCUUCCAGCCUGCCUAGCUUCUCCAUUCUGUUUGCUACCAAAUUCCCAUCCCAUGGGAUCUUAACCUCCAACAAACUUUUACAAUAUCUGUUAAUCUAGGAUACACUCUGCCACAUAAUGCUACAGAAGGAUUACCUUGUUAAAAAAGCUGAUUAGCAACUUGUGUCCAUUUUGUUAUAACAAAUUUAAAGUGCACACACGUAAUGGGAAUAGAUUUUUAACAUGCAACAACUUUUUUGCAAAAUCUCUGCUGAGUGUGGAAAAAAAUGCCAGAGACACCCAUUCUCAAUUAGUGCUUUUGAGCAGUGUUAGAAACUCAAAUAUAUAAGCUAGGUGCCAAAUGGCACCUUAAAUAUAGGUUGCGGUCGCCACAACAGAAUGUCUGUUCACCAAGGGAUUGGACUAGAUGACCCUUGGGGUCCCUUCCAAUGCGACAAUUCUAUGAUUCUAUGAUUUUGUGAUUUCAACUACAUUGCUUGACUGUAGCUUGCUCUUACAACAGUUCACUUGCCCCAGUAUGCGAGAAGGAAAAGCUCACCCCUAGUGGAAAUUGCAUUAGUUUUUAUUAAGGCAGGUUUUAAAAAUAUGCUUGCCAACCUGGCGCCCAGAAAUCUUGUAGUCGCAAUUGGACCCAUGCUGAAAGCAAAACACACCUGGCUAAUUUCUAACACUGCUUCUGGGUCUGUUUGUGCUUAUAUCAGAUGACUUCUAAACGUCAUGAAAUGUUAUGUCUGAACCAGUAGCAGCCCCCAGAAAUUUGGGCAUUUGGGGAAGUGGCUGGAGGCAUGCAACCUACCAGCUUGGAUGCUCGUGCUGUUGCACUUCUAACACUGAACUCCCACCCAUCCCUGAUUUGCCCACGUGUGUCUUUGUGACUUGGAGAGGGAAGUAGAAAUAGAUUCUUAUGCCAAAGAAAGAUUAGAAGUGAGCAGAUCCAUUCAUACAAGUAUUUGAAGGUCUGCUUCAUAUUGAUGGGGUGAAUUUCUUUUCUUCUAUUCCAGACAUAGGACCUGAACCAGUGGGUUCAAAUCAUAAGAAAAAGGAUUAAGAUUAGGACGAACUUAUUUUGCAGUGGAGCAGACUGUCUCAGAAAAUGGGAGACUCUCCUUUGUUAAUAGUUCUUAAGUAGAGACUGGAUAGCCAUCUGCCAAGGAUGGUGAAGUAGUGGAUUCCUUGCAUCACCAGGGUGUUGGACUAGAUAACCUUUCCUUGCAGCUCUGAUUCUGAGAAAUGCUUCUGAAUUUGCUGCUUAAUAUCUAAGAAAGGGGUAAACUCUGUUAAGUACACCUUACACAUGUAAAGUAGUUCAGGAGUAUACUUGUAAAGUUGAGACAACGAUGCUGGGAGAGAGUUUGUUUUGAUUCCUGUACCCGCUCCCCUCUUUAAAAACCAGUGCAUUUCUAAGGCGGUUUACAAUGUAAGCAAUAAAACCAAUUCAAAAGGAACAUCAGAAAGUACUUCAGCAUAUAAAAAGUUUUAAAACGGAACCUAAGAGCCAGCAUAGAGACAAUAAGACUUAAUUAUAAAAAGAACAAAUGAGCAAAAUUCACAGCAUGUCUCAAAACAGCAAGAGAAGGACUUGGUGCCAUUGCAUGGACAAUCCAGACAGCACAAUUUAUAACCUACCAAGCCUAAUGGAUAUCACUAACCAUGUGCCAUGGUCUGUCAGUUGCUGGGCAACAUCCUUGUUGUGUGGUCUUGGGUCAGCUGCACAACCAGGGAGAGCGCUAUGGUACUCAGGUCCUGCCUGUGGACUUCCCUUUGGGGCAUCUGGUUGGCCACAGAUAGAAUAGAAUGCUGAACCAGAUAGGCCUCUGAUUCUUAGGUUUUUGAGCCCUUGGUGGGCCACCACACGACUGGUGAAUCGUAGUUAGCUUUCAGAGCAAGACAUUGUACAGGAUUGGGGUAAGCAAUAGAAGAAUGCAGUACUUUCCCUCCAGGUGUGUGUGACUUGAAUGUGUCUUCAAAUAUCGCUGAGAUUCAUUAAAACCAAGAGGAAAGAGAAAUACAUUAAGAACAUCCCGUCCCCUUCUAAAAGCCCACACAGAUAGUUAAAGGCCAAAGGCCUGGUUCUAGAGGAAUGUUUUUGCCUGGCGCCUGAAUAUAUGUAGUAAAGGCACUGGGCUAGCGUCCCUGGGAAGAGUAUUCCACAAACUGGGGAGCCAUCAUAUAAAAGGCCUGUUCUUGUCUUGUUACCCUCUGGACCUCUCCUGGAGGGGGCAGCCCAGGGUGUGUCCUCAUAGACCCAUGUGUCGGGGGGGGGAUAUACUUUGCCUGGCCAAAAAUAACAUGGAAAAUGAGCAAGAGCAAAGACAGGUAGUAAUGCACCUAGGAGGCCAAAGUCCUGUGAUGAAAUCAUCUUGCCCCCCCAAACAACUUUAUUUAUUUAUUGACAUUAAGAAAGAGGCAAUCUUCAGUGACACAUGCAUACUGCAAUGCAUUGUAUGUGCAGCUGCCUUUGGAAACGGUCCAGAAAUGCAUAUUACUCCAAAGCAGAGUGGCAGGGUUGUUAACUGGAAUGGGACCAUUUGAUAUUGCAGCAGUGUUUUGUUAUCUGCACUGGCUUCUAGUCUGUUUCCAGAUCUUUAAAGACCAUGGCAGUUUGGGGUCAGAAGGAUUCUGAAGUAUCGCUCUGGACCAUCCUCAGUGGUUCUUUUCCUUUGCCUCUCACCCCCGAAUGAGAUGCAGAGGUGGUUACCAGGAAGGGGAUCUUUUCAGUGGUGGCACCCAGCUUGUGUAAUGCUCUUCCCAAAGAGGCUUGCCAGGAGCCUCCUUUGUACUGUUUUCAGUGCUAAGUGAAUACCUUUUUUAUUCUACCAGGCCUUUUAAAUCCAUUGAUUUUUAUUCUUUGCUGCUGGAGUUUUUAUGCUGUUUUACAUUUGCGCCCCCCCCCCCGAGUUUAUAAUUGCUUGUUAAAUGUUUUUAUUGUUGUUGUAAAGCCGCUCAGAGAACUUUGUUACUGGGUGGCAUUUGAAUACUGUGAAUAAAUAAAUAAAACCGGCUUCUAAUGGGAAAGGACAAAGACUGAGGCAGAAAGGGAGAAUCUCCAGCCUCCCUGACAAUGGGACUUGUUUGGAAGCAGCGUUGGGGCUAUUAGCUUCCUUGCUUCUUCUUGUUUCGGAUAGCUGGCUCUUGCUUUGAAGUGCACGCUGUCUCUGUUUUCACUGGCUUGCCUGGGAGAGAUAAUUAGAAGGGCCAGGACUUAAUUAUUUGCUCCUUUCAGCCUCCGCUCCAUUUUAUAACUUAUCUAAGUCAAAUAGAGGUGAUUGCUACAGAAAGGAGCUCUGCUGUGUUGAUAGAGCUUGGCUCUGGAGAUCAACCUGGUGACUCUUGUGUACUUAGAACAGAUCCAAAUCUAGUGGGAUGAGACUGGGAAUCCAGACUGCUUUGCUUGUGGCUGGGUGACUUCAGAUAGAUAGAUAGAUAGAUAGAUAGAUAGAUAGAUAGAUAGAUAGCUGUGCCUUGAUUCACCUUCCAGUGCAACAGAGAGUGAUGUUUACUGUUGUCUAAAACUGGUGGUAUCUCUGCAACUGUGGAGCUGGUAGAACAACGGAUAUUGGUUGACAGUGAAGUUUGGGUCAUUGUGCUCCUGAUAUGCAUAAAGUUGAAGGCCUUGUAUCCUGAUUUGCUCUUGCUUUCAAGGUUAUCUUAUCCAGCUUCUCUGCAUUUCACCCUGGCUGUUGAAACACACCUCUUUGGUACUGCCAGUCCUGGGUCAGGCUUUCUUCUCCCACCACUGCCAUACCCCCACA